rnacentral:tRNA from 1 species
GCCGGCUUAGCUCAGUUGGUUAGAGCGCCUGAUUGUGGAUCAGGAGGUCCCCCGUUCGAACCGGGGAGCUGGUACCA